UUUACAAAUAAUUAAGGAAGCAGAGGCAUAGAACGAAGCUUUGACUUUGGACGAGAACGCUGCGAAUGAUGUAGUUUCGAUAACAAAUUGUCAAAGACGGCGAAAAGGAAGCAAAAUUCCGGCGCAUCCUCAUCGACGUCAAAAAAACAAAAUAAAUGCUCUUGGUCAGCCGAACAUGUCGAAAAACUGUUGUGUUGGACUAUAUCAAGGAAUACAUUACGCUUAUUUACGCAAUGCGAGUAAUAGACCACAACAUUGAAAGAACAGACCACGAUAUUGAAAUAACCUCGGAAAUAACAGACCACAACAUUGAAAUGCAGCAAGCAAAGGCCCAAUAAAUAGCAUUACACAACUUGCCGCUAAAACUUUGCGUUUCGACGCCAUUUAUCUAAUACAGACUGCUUAGCGACCACGUAUAGGUAGGGUUACCCUAUCCGGCAACAUAGCCCUAGCAGUAGGGUCACCCUACCUCAUGUAAACGCUCGGUAUUUUCUGACCCGCUUGCUAGGGUAACCCUCCUGAUAGGGUCACCCUACCUCCAUGUAAACAGGCCCUUAGAUGUGAAUCCUUUUUGAAUAUUAUGUUCUAUAGAGUUCGGAAUGAAUACAUAGCGUUAUAUAGGCAGGCAGGAAUUAAAAAUUAAUGGUAUGGUCUCCAGUGUGAUGGGUCGGAAAUUGGAC